rnacentral:tRNA from 1 species
GCCUUCGUGGUGUAAUGGUCAGUUCACUGAGCCGGUAUUUCAGAGGUCCGUGGUUCGAUCCCCGGCGAAGGCA